rnacentral:lncRNA from 1 species
GUUCACUUUGACAUUUAAGAAUUUAGAAGUGUAAACAAGAUACAAGAAAGACCAGUCAGGGUAAAAUUAUACCGGAAAACGACUUGCUGCGAAUUUUUGGCAACGAUAUCCAAAUUAAUGAGCAGGGUGAUUUAACGUACACGUGUGUUGAGGAAGAUACGGAUCUCCUUAAUCUGCUAAAGGAGUUUGAUCUGGAAACACUUUUUCUUGGCCUAAAAAAUGCUGGAAUAACUUUUCGAAGCUUAAAAUAUUUGUCGAAAGAAGACAUUGCGGAAGCAGUAAAAAAUAUUGGUCUUCGAGCAGAGUUUAGAGAAAAGUUGUUUUUCUGGCGCAAGUCAAAGGUAAAUAUAAUAAUAAUUUUGAAGCUUAUUUGCGACGUUAAGCACGUACAUAGAUACAAUUACCAUUUCAAUAUUACUACGUUUAUAAUUUAGCAAACUUAUUUUUUCAGUUUGGAAUAGAAGACGAAACGUUGAGCCAGACUUCAAAAGUUGUUGGUUGGCUAGAAAAAAACCGUCACAAAGAUUCACCUUGUUCUUCAAAUAAUUCAAUAAGAAACGCAUUUGGAUCACAGCCCCUUUCAACAUUUUUAAACGAUAACUCAGCCGGAAAACAACUUAUUCAAUAUUAUGAGGAAUGGGCAUGUUUUACGAAUAAGCAACGCGAUGCCCUCAUUAAAAUAAUUUUAGAAGAUGUCAUGUUAACAAAGACAAAGCUUAGACCAGAACACUUUGCUAGUAUUGUGGAAGAAAUA